UACGAAGGACCCGAGCGUUAUCCGGAUUUAUUGGGUUUAAAGGGUGCGUAGGCGGAUUAGUAAGUCAGUGGUGAAAGCCCAUCGCUUAACGGUGGAAUUGCCAUUGAUACUGCUAGUCUUGAGUAUGGUUGAGGUGGGCGGAAUGUGUCAUGUAGCGGUGAAAUGCUUAGAUAUGACCCAGAACACCAAUUGCGAAGGCAGCUCGCUAAACCAUAACUGACGCUGAUGCACGAAAGCGUGGGGAGCAAACAGGAUUAGAUACCCUGGUAGUCCACGCCCUAAACUAUGAUCACUCGUUGUUGGCGAUACACAGUCAGCGACUAAGGGAAACCAUUAAGUGAUCCACCUGGGAAGUACGACCGCAAGGUUGAA
rnacentral:rRNA from 1 species